UCUCAUUCAUAACCCUUCACUUAUGACAGUGGUCCACUCUGCCCCCCAACUGUCCAUUGCACGUUGACAGUUCGCCCAGUCAGCAGGAGCCAUGUGAACCUGUCGCUAUGGAACGGCCUUGGGGAGGGGCAUUCAUCCAGCCUGGACCCACUAUUGGAAGACAGGGAAGAGACAGGCCCAGUAUUGGCCAGCCAGCACCAGUCAGGCUCUGGAAGCAGAGGGCUAUCCAGCCUGCCAGGAGAACAGAGAAUCAGCUCAUUAGUAACAGCAGGGUGCCGUGGACGUGCCAGCUUGGCGUGUUGACAUCUGAGAGUCUGGGCUUUGGUGAGAGAGCAGGACGUUUGUAGGACCUGCUGCAGUCACACACACCCCCCCACCGCCCCUUCACCAGGAGCACCGGGGUCGUAAAACACGAGCCCCCCUUUUCAACGCUGCUUACCACACCUCCUCGCCCACAGGAGGAAAUGAUGAAGCCAGCGUUGAGGGGGGUAGAGGACAUGAAUGUGCUGUGGGUUUUAAUGUGGGAUUGGCACGGUGGAGACAAUACCAAGGGGCUGUAACCUGGGAAUAUGAAAAUGGCUUGAAGCCCUUUUGUUUGGUUUUACAGUGAAAUCAUGUGUACUGCACACAGCAAAUGCAUGUAUUCUUUGUUCACGGCCAGUUUACGAGACACAGAUGUAGUAGUCCUGGGCUUCUUGGCACCCAGUUUGGACAUAUACGUUGUUUAGUCAAGGACUUCAUCUAUAUCCUGGAGACUGGCCUCAGGGUUUUCAAAGAGGUUCACAAUCUCUGAUAAAAAAAAGAUGCUCGGAUUGUUGACAGUGUCAAUAUUGUUGAUAUUUUUAAAUCCUACAGUGUGAUGUCAUUGGCCCAAUCAUGAUCCACGUCAGAACGAGGAAACGUGUCAUGUCACGAGGAGAGUGAAAGGAUCAAGUCUUUCCGCUGUGCCAUAAUCCCUCGCCUUGAACCAAUAUCCGACUAGCAUCGCCCAUUCUCCUCAAGAUAGGCAUCCCCUCCCUGGAAAUGUGGUUUGGGUUAAUAGGACUGAGACUGAGCCCAAAACCACAUGUAGACUUUGAGGAAUGGGGAUUUACCCCUUCUUACUCAGCUUGGAGUUCCUGUAAUGAUGGUUUGUUUGUCCUCUACACACAGAGGAAUAAUAUUCCAUACAUGGUGAACUACAUUUACAUGUUUUGUUAAUCUGUCUGAAUAUUACCAUUUAAAACAGACUUUUACAGUGACAAUGUAUCAAUCGCUAUGGGCUCUAAUUCUAUGGACUUUGCUCAUGUGUCCAUUCUAAGAUUGUCAUCGCAAUCAGCACUAAAUGUGUAAAACAAUUUCAUAUUUGUUUAUUCAUUGACUAUCAAAACAAAUCUGGCAUUUACAGUCAUUUAUUUUAAUAAUACAUUACAUACAUGGAAAUUGUUGAUUACUUUCAGUUGACGAUAUAUUAUGCAGUUCAUGUGCUGUGUUAUAAUGUUACAAACAAUAUCAAAAACUCUACGAGAUUGUUUAAAA